CUCAGACUCCUCCGUGGGUCAGGAUUGUUCAUUGGUCUAGGCUCAGCCGGGAGGGCAGUUACUGGAAUGUUCGGGGUCAGGGGCGGCGACCCAUAGUCAGUAGGGUCAGGCCACGCAGGCACACUGUGUAUACAGCCAGCCCUGGGCCUGGAGAAGAGCUUAAACCUUGCUCCUUGCGGUGAGUGGAGGAGCCCAAGAGCAGACUGAGGCCACCGGAGAGGCUGAGAGGCUGACAGGCUCCCUGGGCACCAGGACAGGGGACCCACCCCCUCCCCCGACACCCCUGUGCUCUGCAUGGACAAGGACAGACAGACAGCUCCUCGAGGGCCCAUGGCCACAAGAGUCAGCCACACCGGCCCCUGCAGCUGGGGCAGAGAGGCUCAGAGGAGGUGAAGGGACUGAAGGACCCGCUCACCAGGCUCCGCCCACUCCCAGGGCCCCUGGGGUCCCCAGCACCUUCCUCCAGGGCCUCCUGCGCUGCCCGCUCCUCUGAAGGUCUUCAGUGACAGGUGCGGAUCCGGUUUGGAUGCUGAUGGAGAGGAAGGAGGUGGCCCCACGGGUGGCUCCCGCCCCCCACAAGAUGCCCCGCCCCUCUCCUGUGGGCUCAGCUUCAGUUUUCCAGGCUAAGGGAGGCCUCAAGGGCACAGAUGCCUCCUCCCUGUCCCACGGGGACAGGACAGGACUUGACGGCCCCUGGAGAGAUCCUGUGCCUUCUGGCUUCCCCUGGAAACGUGUGCCUGGCAGGCCUCCCUCGUGCUGUGCUCCUGGUCUCAGCCCUCCCUUCUGCCAGGAAAGGGCCUGGGCUGGAGGGAGAAGCCUGGAACCUGCCCGCGGUCCCUGCUGGGCCAGCUGGGGCCACUUCCUAAACUCCCGGGGCCUCGGCCUUCUCCUCCUCCUCCCGCGGGAGACCCUGGGACAGCCUGUGAGCAGGGCGGACAGCUGGGAGGGGGGCGUCCAAGGGACCAGGGCUGAACAGGUGAUGCUCCUCAGAUGCCCGGGUUCAAGGCCUGUGGCGCCACCUGCUGGCCGCGUGCUGUGGGCACCUGUAAGAACCUCUUUGUGCCUUUGCUGUCCUGCCAAGGUGGUGGUAAUGAGAGAACCGCCUCCGCUGGCGUCUGCGCAGAGACCCAGGGCGCAUGUGGGCUUCUGGGCGAGGGUCAGCCCUCAUUCCGGUUCGCUGCGGGGAGAGCCUCAGAGCUGCAUGAGCUUUUUGAGCUCGGCCAUCCUUGUCCAUCUCAGGCCUUAGUCUGGAGGCUGGUGGGAGCUAAAGGUCAGAGCGUCCUUCAGCAGCCUCCCGGGGAGCCAGGAGUCCUUCCCUCUGCACUCUCCAAGGCAGGGUCCUGUUGGCCUGGCCAGUGAGUCCAUUUCCCAAGAAGGACUCAGCAGGUGAGGUGACUGGUGUUCUCUUUGGUUUUGUUUCUCAUGACUGAAAACAGGAGUAUGUGAUUGUUUUUCAUGCACCCUCAAGUUGUAAUCAAGUUUUAAUCACCCGGAGAGGAAGUGAAAGUCCCAAGUUCAAUGCUAAGUCCAUCUCUCCCAUGAAAAGGGAAGAAGGUCAUUGCAGGUGGAACAUGAUUGAGGGACCAUGGCCCUCAUGGUGUCACUGCGUGGCCCAGGCCCUGAAUUUGGGUUGAGGACCUCUCUCUGGAAGGGUUUCAUGACCAGAUCAUCCUGGACAUGGCAGCACAGGCGUUGGGCUUCAACGUAUAUCUCUUGCUGGGCCAUGACUUUUUUCUCAUUUAUUCUCUCUUCCAUUCUGUUGUCUUUUGGGGCUCAUUUGCUGGUUGUUCACAGAAUCUUACAGAGUAACUCUCUUCCAGUGAAUCCCAUCCCCAGAGAGCUCAUGUUGGCCUCCUCAAGUUCUUUCUGGAAUCUGCUUCCUUGGAGGAGCUCUGCUGGUGUUUUCAAAAGGUUCCUUGUUGGCUUGUCUUUAUUUUUUUUUCAGAAGCUGAUAAUCUUUUAACCCCUUUUUGCUUUUUUGUGGUGACUUUUUUUGAGCUUUUACUAAAUCCAUCGAUGAUCCCUUGAUUGGUUUAUGGAGUGUACCAGAAGAAAAAUAUGGUCAUUAUGGGCUCCCCCCGAGACUUCAGAACAACAUGACCUAAGCCUAUAAGCCUGGGUGGGGUAGCCAGCACCAACCCAAUCUUGCCCUCUCCAUCUGUAGCUUUAGAUAUUGAGGGUUCGUCUAAGAUUAUGGGGAUACUUCAGUGUUUUGGCUCCAAUGGAUCAAACAAGUCAGAACUGGCCUAGGUACUUCCUUUAGAAGACUAGUUCUCUCAUGUCCUUCCUAUUUCUCCAGGGGUAAUGGACUUGUUUAUUUCACUCUCUGUUGUUUCAAUUCCUUUCUUGUGUCUUGAUGAUUAAGGAGUGUCACUAAGUAGUUGUCAUCCAAGGUCCAAGAAUUGGCCACUGUGAUAUGACCCUCCCCUCAAGAAAGUUUGUACCUGAUUUGUUGGUCUUUACUUGAGGCAAUGACUGGCCACCUUCCUCACCCCCAUGGCAUCUUAUCUUCCUGAAGGAGCCAUCCCGCCACACGGGUUCUUUCCCAGUGCCCCAGUGGUCCCAGAUAGACUUGUCAGUAAGAGUUGAGUUUGUAGGGUUUUAGGAAGGAAUGUGUCAGAAGUGCAGGGGCUGAAGAGCCUCUAUGUGCCCAGACUCCUCUACACCUUGUCCCCAGGGGUCAAGUGAUUACCCCGCCAACAGCCAGCUCCUAUUCUAACUGAAUCUCAGUGGGACAUUUGCAUUCACCCAUUUCCUCCCUCUGUGACUCAUCCACGGACAUCUCCCGGGAUCCACUUGCUCUCUGAGUCCCAUCGCUGCUGAGGGAAGCAUCCUGACAACAUUCUGUGUCUUCCUCCAGCUUGGUGUGUCUCCCACUCCAUCCUACCUGUCCACUGUUCCCUAUAGAGUCAGAAAAUGUCCCAUGCUCUAGAGGUUAAAAAAAAAAAAACAAAACAAAAAACUGAGCUCAGGAAAAGUGGUCUUCACAGGUUCACAUGGAGUUGGCAGUGAGGUAAGACCUCAACUCCAGGGCUUGGUAAUACUGGGCAGCCUCCGUGGGAUUCCUGAUGUCCGAGAGUCCUGAUGAGAGAGGACAGGUAGGGAUCCCAAGGUCCCAAGGGCUCCAAGUGUUGUCCAAGCCUGCCACCUCCAAAGCCCCACCCAGUGCACCUGGCCUGGGGUAUCCUUGGUGAAAAUAAGUACAUUUUACCUGUUGCCUCUUCCAUUGCUGCCAUAUCUCCUCUCAUCCUAUUCCUUGAUAAAUAUCCAAAUGUUAUCAACAUAAUUGGGAAAUGGAGCCUGGAGGUGAAGGGCCAGACCCUGGAAAUGGCAGCAUUGCAGUCUGGAGACAUGGAGGCUCAGAAGCUCCGAGUUCAGGGCCUUCUAACCUUGGGAGCAGUAGUAGUAGUGCCCAGGGGAACAGGGAAUUGGGGACCAAGUUUAUACUGGGCAACAAGAUUAUAGGCAUAGUUUGAACGAUGUUUACGUGGUCCCAGCACAAAGAGCUGGGACUGCUUGGAUUGAAGCCUGGGUGCUAGAAGGUUGUCCGAGAACAGGUCAGACAUGUGGACCAACGUGGGCUCUCCCAGGCCCUGGAAGCCCAAACACUGCAGCAGGGACAGUGCGAAGGGGACUCUGACAUGGGGAAGGGGCAAGGAAGGGUGAUUUGUAUACAUUUUCAGAAUCCAAUGAUGAAUUCCCAUUUUAAGAGGCAGAUAGCUCUUCAAGGUGCACAACGAAUGUCUUCCUCUCCCUACCAUCUGAUCUCAGAAUGAAGUGUUGUCAUUUGAACCUCUUCUAUUUUUUAGAGAUGACUGCUUCCUUAACUUUAUAAACUGCUUUAUUAAUGUGAUUGAAAAUAUUUGGUCAUGCUUUUCAUUUACCUGUGGCACCAUUUUUGGGGGGAAGCUUUUCCUGGCCUUUUUCUCAUCUUUGAUUCAAUUUGUGCUCCUCUUUUUUAGAGAACACAUAUGUGAAUGAGUUUAAUUUACUUGUACUCAAUUUUUGUAAAAUUUUCGUGUGGGCUGUGUCCCAAACUCCAAUACACUUUUAUUAUGUCUCAA